AUUGAACGCUAGCGGGAUGCUUUACACAUGCAAGUCGAACGGCAGCGCGGACUUCGGUCUGGCGGCGAGUGGCGAACGGGUGAGUAAUGUAUCGGAACGUGCCCAGUAGCGGGGGAUAACUACGCGAAAGCGUAGCUAAUACCGCAUACGCCCUACGGGGGAAAGCAGGGGAUCGUAAGACCUUGCACUAUUGGAGCGGCCGAUAUCGGAUUAGCUAGUUGGUGAGGUAACGGCUCACCAAGGCGACGAUCCGUAGCUGGUUUGAGAGGACGACCAGCCACACUGGGACUGAGACACGGCCCAGACUCCUACGGGAGGCAGCAGUGGGGAAUUUUGGACAAUGGGGGCAACCCUGAUCCAGCCAUCCCGCGUGGGCGAUGAAGGCCUUCGGGUUGUAAAGCACUUUUGGCAGGAAAGAAACGUCGCGGGCUAAUACCCCGUGGAACUGACGGUACCUGCAGAAUAAGCACCGGCUAACUACGU
rnacentral:rRNA from 1 species